rnacentral:rRNA from 1 species
AGAGUUUGAUCCUGGCUCAGAUUGAACGCUGGCGGCAUGCCUAACACAUGCAAGUCGAACGCGAAAGGGCUUCGGCCUGAGUAGAGUGGCGGACGGGUGCGUAACACGUAGGAAUCUACCCAGUAGCGGGGGACAACCCGGGGAAACCCGGGCUAAUACCGCAUACGCCCUACGGGGGAAAGCAGGGGAUCUUCGGACCUUGCACUAUUGGAUGAGCCUGCGGCGGAUUAGCUAGUUGGUAGGGUAAAGGCCUACCAAGGCGACGAUCCGUAGCUGGUCUGAGAGGACGACUAGCCACACUGGGACUGAGACACGGCCCAGACUCCUACGGGAGGCAGCAGUGGGGAAUAUUGGACAAUGGGGGCAACCCUGAUCCAGCAAUGCCGCGUGUGUGAAGAAGGCCUUCGGGUUGUAAAGCACUUUCGUUGGGGAGGAAAAAGGUUGGGCUAAUAUCCUAGCCCUUGACUGUACCCA